rnacentral:rRNA from 1 species
UACGGAGGGAGCUAGCGUUAUUCGGAAUUACUGGGCGUAAAGCGCACGUAGGCGGCUUUGUAAGUAAGAGGUGAAAGCCCAGAGCUCAACUCUGGAAUUGCCUUUUAGACUGCAUCGCUUGAAUCAUGGAGAGGUCAGUGGAAUUCCGAGUGUAGAGGUGAAAUUCGUAGAUAUUCGCAAGAACACCAGUGGCGAAGGCGGCUGACUGGUCCGGUUCUGACGCUGAGGCGCGAAAGCGUGGGGAGCAAACAGG